rnacentral:rRNA from 1 species
UACGGGGGGGGUAAGCGUUGUUCGGAAUUACUGGGCGUAAAGGGCUCGUAGGCGGCCAACUAAGUCAGACGUGAAAUCCCUCAGCUUAACUAGGGAACUGCGUCUGAUACUGGGUGGCUUGAGUGCAGGAGAGGAAUGCGGAAUUCCAGGUGUAGCGGUGAAAUGCGUAGAUAUCUGGAGGAACACCGGUGGCGAAGGCGGCAUUCUGGACUGUAACUGACACUGAGGAACGAAAGCCAGGGGAGCAAACGGG